UCCCAGCAGUCCAAGUCGCAUCCACAUUUAUUGGGUCUAAAACAUCCGUAGCUUGCCAUCUAAGUCUCUUGUGAAAUCGGGGCUCUUAAGGUUCCGGCGCGCAAGAGAUACUGUUUGGCUUGAGACCGGGAGACGUAAGAAGUACGGCGAGGGUAGCGGUAAAAUGCGUUGAUCCUUUCCGGACUAACAACAGCGAAGGCAUCUUACGAGAACGGAUCUGACAGUGAGGGAUGAAGGCUAGGGGCGCAAAGUG
rnacentral:rRNA from 1 species